AUUGAACGCUGGCGGCAUGCCUUACACAUGCAAGUCGAACGGCAGCACGGGUGCUUGCACCUGGUGGCGAGUGGCGAACGGGUGAGUAAUACAUCGGAACAUGUCCUGUAGUGGGGGAUAGCCCGGCGAAAGCCGGAUUAAUACCGCAUACGAUCUACGGAUGAAAGCGGGGGACCUUCGGGCCUCGCGCUAUAGGGUUGGCCGAUGGCUGAUUAGCUAGUUGGUGGGGUAAAGGCCUACCAAGGCGACGAUCAGUAGCUGGUCUGAGAGGACGACCAGCCACACUGGAACUGAGACACGGCCCAGACUCCUACGGGAGGCAGCAGUGGGGAAUUUUGGACAGUGGGCGAAAGCCUGAUCCAGCAAUGCCGCGUGUGUGAAGAAGGCCUUCGGGUUGUAAAGCACUUUUGUCCGGAAAGAAAUCCUUGGCCCUAAUACGGUCGGGGGAUGACGGUACCGGAAGAAUAAGCACCGGCUAACUACGUG
rnacentral:rRNA from 1 species